rnacentral:miRNA from 1 species
ACCUGGCCGAUUUCAUGUAAUAU